rnacentral:rRNA from 1 species
AUAGGCUAGGAGUUAUUGGGCCUAAAGCAUCCGUAGCCGGCUACGCAAGUCUCCGGUUAAAUCCAUCUGCUUAACAGAUGGGCUGCCGGAGAUACUACAUAGCUAGGGAGCGGGAGAGGUAGACGGUAUUCGGGAGGAAGGGGUAAAAUCCUUUGAUCUCUUGAUGACCACCUGUGGCGAAGGCGGUCUACCAGAACACGUUCGACGGUGAGGGAUGAAAGCUGGGGGAGCAAACCGGAUUAGAUACCCGGGUAGUCCCAGCUGUAAACGAUGCAGACUCGGUGAUGCACUGGCUUUUGGCCAGUGCAGUGCCGCAGGGAAGCCGUUAAGUUUGCCGCCUGGGAAGUACGUACGCAAGUAUGAAACUUAAAGGAAUUGGCGGGGGAGCAC